rnacentral:lncRNA from 1 species
UUAUAUUUUGGUGUUUGGUUGUAGAGAUGGGAUGGAAUGGAAUUGUCCAUCUUACUUUAUUACAUGAAUUAGAUUUCUGAUAGAAACCUAAACUGAAUGUAGAACAUUUGAUUACAUCGAUUAUAAAUAGAUGUACUUGAUGCUGCAGUACAAAUGAACACCCACGGAACACUGAAUCUGAAUACAGAACAAUAGAUGUAUCUAAAUACAGAACAACAAGUGUACUUGACACUGCAGUAUAGUGAACCGAAGUUCAGUCCAUGCAAAAAACACCCACGAUGAAUGUCAAUGCACAUCACAGGCUCCUUGGUGCUGCG